rnacentral:lncRNA from 1 species
UCAAGUGAUGCUCCCACCUCAGCCUCCUGAGUAGCUGGGACUACAGGUGCAUGCCACCAUGCCCAGCUAAUUUUUGUAUUUUUUGUAGAGAUGGGGUUUCGCCAUGUUGCCUAGGCUGCUGUUGAACUCCUGAGCUUAAGUGACCUGCUGGCUUUGGUUGCCCAAAGUGCUGGGAUUACAGGCAUGAGCCACUGCACACAGCUGGAUGAUUAUUUUUUUAAGAGACAGGGUCUCCCUCUGUCACCCAGGCUAAAGUAAAGUGCAGUGGAGCGAUCAUAGCUCACCACUGCCUCAAACUCCUAGGCUCAAACAAUCCUCCCACCUCAGCCUCCCUAGUAGCUAGAACUACAGGUGUGAGCCACCAUGCCUGCUGUUCUGUGGGAGCCACCAUGCUUGCUGUUCUUUGUCUUAUCACUUCUGCUCUGUGUGUGUGUCUGUGUGUGCCUCUGCAUGUGUGAGCAUGUGCAGGAUAGUCUCCAAAACUUCCGUUCAGACUUGCAGAUGGUUUGCAGUGAAUUAAUUUCUCUUGCCAUUGCUUAGACUUUGGAGGGGAAAAGGCAGGAUAGGUUAAAGAGAGGGAGGGAAAGGAACAGGUAGGAGAAAACAAUUGAGGGAGGACCAAAGAAAGGGAAUCUGAUUUUCUUAAGGAAGGGACUGCAUCAUGCUUGUUCUUUAACUCUAGUCAUGCAUAAAAUUGCCUCUGCAUCUUCUAACUUCCUUCCAAAUGAAAUGCUCGAUACUCCUUAAUGUGUUUUCUGACAGUCCUAAGAAAGGUCUGCUCUCUGAUCAGGUCUACAGGUGUUUUGAGUGCCUGGCAUGGCUUGGCCCAUGUUGGGGUCAGGAUAUGCCUGGUGGGGCAGGUCCAGGUCCCAGGCUGAGUCUGACAGGCAGGCAUCUGGAGGGACAAUGUGGCCCAAGGACUAACCUGGGGUUUAGUGUGGAAGGCAGGAGAAGGCUGGAGGGCAGGGGAACUUCACUGGAGCAGGACAAAUGAAGUAAAAUACAGACAAGGAGGAGAAAUAGCCUGCAGAGUGGGGCAGGAAGAGAAUAUCAUCAGAGGGAGGCAGGCCCCAGUGGGGGCAAGGCUGUGGGCAGGGACCAGGACCCACUGGAAAAGGACUGGUCUCGAGUGAUACUUGCUGUUGAGCUCACCUGUUUAACAUGCACUCCCUGAUCUUAGAUGGGCAGGGUUGUUCUUGAGACUUGGGGAGGGGUGGAGCCUAGUUCCAUGGGACAGUGGUGGCUUCUCCUUUGGUUCAUGGUUAAAGGGAAAUACAUCAAAAUGCUAACCUUGUUUAUCUCUGAAACUGUGUAGUUUUUUUUAAGUCUAUCAUUCAACAAAUCUGUAAGGUAGUAUUAAAAUCAGAAGCCAAGAUAGUCUGAAAGAUUAGGAGGCUGUUGGUAACUUUAUUGCAUUUUAAUGUUUUAGCGCAAGUUCAUGCAUUAUCAACCUCCUUUCCUAGCUGUAUUCCUCACAUAGGCAAUUCUAAAGAAUUGGCUGCUUGCUAUGUUUUCUAUUCUAAAAUAUUUACGUUUAAAACCAGAAAAAGCAUUGAGAUGAUUAUAGUCGUUAGCAGCAGAAUGCAGUUGCUGAGAGCAGUUCGAAAUGAUCUAAAACAGUCCUCCAGGUAGAUCAUCAUGUUUUAAAUUUCAUUUCAAGUUUUUCACAUCAAUCUGGCUGAGGAGCAGCCACAGGUGCGUAAGAUGACAAACGCUCUCUGACCCCACUUAGAGCCUGGAGCGGGGAUGGUAAGUUUGCAUGUGUGUGUGAUCUCCAGGGCUACUCACAAGGCUGUGAGAGACAUGUCAUUACCCUCAUUUUAUAGAUGAGAAAAUCAAAGCUCUGAGAAACUCAGUGAUCCAAGGCAUGUAAAGAUUUAGCUACCAGGAUUUGAACUUGAACACACAUCGUCUGACUUGGUAUCCUGUGCCCUUUUCUUUCGAUUUAUUUUCCCUCUUUUUUUUUUUUUUUGUAGAGAUGGGGUCUCGAUCUGUUGUCCAGGCUGGUCUUGAACUCCUGAGCUCAAACAAUCUUCCCACCUCAGUCUCCCAAAGUGCUGGGAUUACAGGUGUGAGCCACCGUGCCCCGACUGUGCCCUUUUCAUUCUAUCUCCUUUUUUUCUCUUGCUUAUUAAUAUUUAUCACUGACCUUUUUUCUUUUAAAAGGAUUUUAAAUGGCUCAGAGGUAAAUAUGGCUAUCAUAAAUUCAAUGAGAUAGAGCUUCUUAUUAUUUUCUUUCCCUCAAAUCAGGAAAAAGAAGAAUGGGGUUCCUGUGAGCAGUGCCCCCCAGCAGCACGGCCCUUCUCUCCUCUGUCUGCCUACGCAUUCUCCAGGCACUUGUACCUCCCAAUGGCUUCCUGCUUCUCCCCACCCCAGAUUCAGAUGCAUGAUGCAUUUGUUAGUAACCCACUGCCAGGCACUUGCGAGUGCUUUUACAAUAUCCUUCAUCCAAUCUGAUGAAACUGGAUUAUGUUGGGGGAAAUGUUUACUGAGAUAAUAGGAGUAGCAUCCAGCAUUAAUUUCAGUCUCUCUCUCUCUUUUCAAAGGCAUUACAACCCAUGCACAUCUAACUUGAAUUGUAGGGCAGGAGCAAAUGGCCAAUACAGUGGAUACCUUGCUGUCCACCGUACAGCGUGGUUUACACACACUAUACAAAGUGGAAGCAAUGCAUCCACAUUGGCUGAAGCCUUUCACCAGUAUAUUGUUCCAGCUCUCCCUUCCAUCCUCUGCUUGAUCACUUCUUUUUAAAUUUCAAUCCUUUUAGUUUCCUUUUUCUUUCCCUUUACUCUCAUCACACAUUUAAUUUCCAUAGUUACAUAAUUUACAUAACUUAAGAUCAAAUCUUUGCAGGUUUUAACAUUCUACAUUUCAGUGCAAGCCCAAGCCAGAAUACGGAAUUAAGUGGAAUAAGACCUGUCCCUACCAAGGUGCUACAUGUCCUUUUGAUUAAUGACCAGCAUUUUCUUCUUAAAAUACAGGAAAUUCUGGACUUCAUGGAGCUAAAUAUCAUCUCCUUGCUACAGGACUUCUCAGAGCCUUAACAUGCACAAAUGCAUUGUGAAUCUGCAUGGGGAGUUCCACCAAUGCUUGCACAAAAGAAGGAUUUUGAAAAUUCUUAGCCUUGAGGAGAGAUGGUUCCUGAUCCCAGGGAUAAGAUUUGGUGUAGCCAUGCCCUGUGAGCCCUGCCUGACGUGCCAUCAGAUACGUGGAGAAAAACGAAGGAACUAAGGACAGUGAGACAAGGAGGAGCUGCUGCUUCAGGCUUAUCUGACACUGGUCAAGGACACCGAGAAAGUCUCUUUCUCAGGUAUUGCCUGUGGAGCUUGGGAAGGAACUCGUGACCCUGGGCUCUCCUACAUCAUCCUGUGAACAGGGCCACCAGUGUUUGCAAUGUUAAAUCAUGAAGUCCCCAGCCUACAGAGCAAUCGCCAAAAUGAUGAGUGGUUAUACGGCAGAAAUCUGAGUUCUAGGAUGCAGGAGACAGCUGCAGUAUAUCUGGCAUGUCCACAGACACCAACUGGUCUAGUUUUGAAAAGGAAGCCCUAGUCUAGCCCUCAGCAGGACCAGCCAAUGGUCCUCUCCCAUCUCCCACUGACCUCCCCAGUGACCUCAAGGCAAGUUCUUCUGCGUGGAGACUGGAAAAUCCUGUCGUGCCCUAGCAUCGCUUUAAGAAUUUAAGAGUUUCUCAGAUUGAAGUGCAUGUGCUCUGAGGAGAGUGUGUGCGCAAAGUUACAUGACAAAUGUUGCAAUUUUAACUUGCAGAUUAAAAUAUACAUAUUUUUAUACGAAACCAAACAUACUACGACCUAGAAUGAAAAAUGAAUGAGUUUUCACGAUUAAAUAUGAGACUUUCGUGAAAUUUUGUGGGGCUCUGUUGGUUUUAUCUUAGAAUAAGGAAAGGAGUUGGCUUAUUGUCUACUAUUAGGACUCUUGGAUGAAAAAUCUUAGAAUUUAUAUGUCUAAUCCAUACUUAUUUUAUAACUGAAGAAACUGAGGCUCAAACAGAUGAAAUGUCUUGUUCUAAUCCCCCAGACUGGUAGACAUGUUAGUGUCCUACCCAAUAGCCAUUCCCAUUCUGACACCAUCCCCUUUAUUAAACUACAGAGCCCCAGUUAUGUUUGGGGCACCAAUGUGUCAGGCUGCAAAUACUGGCUUUCUCAGAAUCCCUUGUAGUUAGGAUGAGCCAUGCAGUACAGUUCCGUCCAAUAGCACAUAAAUGGAGGUUUCCGGGAAAAUUUUGCUUCCUUGACUCAGAUGUCCCCUCCUUUUUCUUCUCUUCUUCCUUCAUAUUUAUGUCUGAAACAUGGAAGUGAGAUCUGGAGGGGCUGCAGCCAUUUUGUGCUAGAAGGCAACAAAUGUUCAGGCUGAAUGCCAUCAUGCUGGGAAUGGUGAGGCAGGAAUGACUUUUGGUCCCUGACAGCAUGAUUGAGCAGCUCUCCAAUUCUGGACUGCCUAGACUCAGACUCCAUGAUAUGUGAGAACAAUCAACACCUGUUUUUGAAGCCCUUUUAAUUGUUUCCGUUAUAAGAAAAUGAUUUCCUGACUGAUAUGCCCAGUCAUCUCAUUUAGGAAGACAGGAUUUUGGUCUUAUAAAAAAUGUAUAGGUAUAUAAAUAUAUCUACAGAGAAAUUGUUUAUGGACCUUCUCAUUUAUAAAAGCAUUCAAGUGAUUAAUAAUAUUGAUGAUAAGAUUUCUAAUUAAUAUAUCCUUUUAUUUCUAUGUGUUAUAGUUGCAAUUCAAUAUUAUUUCAAAGAAAACUAAUAAUAAUUGUAUAGAGUACAAUAUUUUCAAAAUGCUUUGUGAUGUAUACAUGGUUUCCUUCACCACACUCAUUCCACCAUCUAGACUAAACUAUAAGGAAUUCUCUAAGGAAUGAGGGGGUUGGUACCACCUGCACCACUGAAGUUCCUAAGGAAGCCAUGAUGGAGAGUAAAUCCCCAGUCUCACCAGAGAGUAAGGGGAAGGGGAAGUCCUUUCGGUUUGGAAAGAAGGGAUAGUAAUCAGUCAAGUGUGAGGAUCCUGACUCUUUUUAUUGAGGUAAGCAGCCAAGGGAGCCUAUGGUAUGGUAUAGUUUGGAUAUUUGUUCUCUCCAAAUCUCAUGUCAAAAUGUAAUCCCCCAUACUGGAGAUGGAGCCUGGAGGGAGGUGUUUGGGUCAUGGGGCAGAUCCCUGGAUAAAUGGCUUGGUGCCAUCCCUGCGGUAAUGAAUGAAUUCUUGCUCUAUCAGUUUACACAAGACCUGAUUGUUAAAAAGAGCCUGGCAACUCCUCCUCUUUUUCCUUCUCUCUCGCCAUGUGAUGCCUACUCCUCUUCCUCUUCCGUCAUGAUUGGAAGCUCCUUGAAACCCUCCCCAGAAGCA